UACGGAGGGAGCUAGCGUUGUUCGGAAUUACUGGGCGUAAAGCGCACGUAGGCGGCUUUUUAAGUCAGGGGUGAAAUCCCGGGGCUCAACCCCGGAACUGCCCUUGAAACUGGAGAGCUAGAAUCUUGGAGAGGCGAGUGGAAUUCCGAGUGUAGAGGUGAAAUUCGUAGAUAUUCGGAAGAACACCAGUGGCGAAGGCGACUCGCUGGACAAGUAUUGACGUUGAGGUGCGAAAGCGUGGGGAGCAAACAGG
rnacentral:rRNA from 1 species